ACCCCUGGGUGGUGACCCCAGAGGUGACCCCAGGAGGUGACCAUGGAGGUGACAGUGUGGGGGUGACCCUGGGAGGUGACAGCAGGGGGGUGACCCCAGGAGGUGACCCUGGACGGGUGACCCCUGGGUGGUGACCCCAGAGGUGACCCUGGAGGUGACCAUGGAGGUGACAGUGUGGGGGUGACCAUGGAGGUGACAGUGGGGUGGUGGCACUAGGAGGUGACCCUGGGCAGUGACCCCGGAGGUGACACCAUGGGGUGACCCCAGGAGGUGACCCUAGGAAGUGACCCUGGGCAGUGACCCCGGGGGUGACCCUGGAGGUGACCCAGGAGGUGACAGUGGGAGGUGACACCAUGGGGUGACCCUGGGCAGUGACCCCAGAGCUGACCCCUGUCCCUGUGUCCCUGUGUCCCUGUCCCUGUGUCCCUGUGUCCCUGUCCCCGUGUCCCCAUCCCUGUCCCCGUGUCCCUGUGUCCCCAUCGCUGUCCCCAGACCUUCCCGCCGGGGCCCUACGCGACCCCCCCGAGCUAUGGGGGCACCUUUGGGCCCCCCCCGGCCGGAGCGCUGCCCCACCCCGGGGGGGCCAACUACAGCCAGAUGCCACCGGGCUCCUUCAUCUCCGCCUCGAACGGCCCCGCGGUGCUGGUGAAGCGCGAGGCGGAGGCGCUGGAGCGGAAGGAGCCCAGGGGGGGGGAGGUGAUCUGCAUCGACGACUGAGGGGGGGGCGGGGCCGGGGGGGCCCCCCCGCCCCUCCCCCCACUCGCCAACCCCACCCCGGGGUGGCCCCGAGCCCGGCGGGGGGAGGGGGCGGGUUUGGGGGGGUGGGGGAGGGGCGGGGGGGUUAUAAAUAUGGAAUUCUAUAAAUAUGGAUUUAUGGGGGGGGAGGGGCGCUCCCCGCCCCUCCCCCCCCGCUCGGGCUCGUGUUUAACCGCAGCGAAUAAACCGGAACCUUCCUUGGCUACCAUGGGGAUGGUCGUGGCUACCAUGGGGAUGGUCGUGGCUACCGUGGCCGUGGUCACCUGGGGGUGGUGGCCACCAGGAGUUGGGGUUUGGCUACUG
rnacentral:lncRNA from 1 species